UGGGGAAUAUUGCACAAUGGGCGAAAGCCUGAUGCAGCGACGCCGCGUGAGGGAUGACGGCCUUCGGGUUGUAAACCUCUUUCAGUAGGGACGAAGCGCAAGUGACGGUACCUGCAGAAGAAGCACCGGCUAACUACGUGCCAGCAGCCGCGGUAAUACGUAGGGUGCGAGCGUUGUCCGGAAUUACUGGGCGUAAAGAGCUCGUAGGCGGUUUGUCACGUCGUCUGUGAAAUCCUAGGGCUUAACCCUGGACGUGCAGGCGAUACGGGCUGACUUGAGUACUACAGGGUAGACUGGAAUUUCUGGUGUAGCGGUGGAAUGCACAGCUAUCAGGAAGAACACCGAUGGCGAAGGCAGGUCUCUGGGUAGUAACUGACGCUGAGGAGCGAAAGCAUGGGUAGCGAACAGG
rnacentral:rRNA from 1 species